rnacentral:rRNA from 1 species
GAUGAACGCUGGCGGCGUGCUUAACACAUGCGAGUCGAACGGAAAGGCCCUGCUUUUGUGGGGUGCUCGUGUGGCGAACGGGUGAGUAAAACGUGAGUAAAAUGCACUUGACAUUGGGAGAUCAUUAGGAAAAUGGGGCGAUUACCGGAUAGAAGCUCCUGCUGCAUGGGGGGGGUUGGAAAGUUUCGGCGGUUGGGGAUGGACUAGCGGCUUAUCAGCUUGUUGGUGGGGUAGUGGCUGACCAAGGCUUUGACGGGUAGCCGGCCUGAGAGGGUGACCGGCCACAUUGGGACUGAGAUACGGCCCAGACUCCUACGGGAGGCAGCAGUGGGGAAUAUUGCACAAUGGGCGGAAGCCUGAUGCAGCAACGCCGCGUGCGGGAUGACGGCCUUCGGGUUGUAAACCGCUUUCGCCUGUGACGAAGCGUGAGUGACGGUAAUGUGUAAAGAAGCACCGGCUAACUACGUG